rnacentral:rRNA from 1 species
AUGUCGCGCCAGGUCCCACGCCCUCUCCGCAUCGGCGACCCCUCGCUGCGCCCGGAGGAGGGCCAUGUGGUCAUCAUCGCCACGCCGGAGAUGGAGACCAAUGCAGCGAGCCUCGAGUCCCUCGGUGCCUUCCUGUGGCUCGGUGGGAACCGGCCCACGGCCAAUGCUGCGAAGAUCAAGGAGGCCAUCAACAACCAGUUUGGCAUCGACCGCGUCACGGUGGUCCCUCACUACCCAGAAGACUUCUUCGCGCUGUUCGAGUACCCGCACCACCGGGAGAGGGUCACCGCGUCGCCGGGGCGCUUCCGGCACGCCGGCCUCGACAUCCACUCCUCCAACUGGCGGCGUGACGCCCACUCCGACAUCGUCCAAGCUAACUACCAUGUGCACCUUUGCAUUGAGAGCAUCCCGCUCAAUGCCUGGAGCGACACUGUGGCUGCGCAAGUGCUGGGACAGGACACCUUCGUCCACUACUUCGACAUCGCCACGCUCCGUCGAGAAGACGCCUCCUGCCUAAGGCUAUGGGCAUGGUCUGACAACCUGUCGUCCAUCCCUAAGGUCCAGCACGUCACCAUCGCGCCGCGGGUGCCCAAUGGCCCCGGUGGUGCUCCAUCCGCUGCCAUUGGUCAUCCUGGGUUCCGGCGUCGUGCCAUCGUCCACCUGGACAGGCUGGAGGACUUCACGCCGGACGCAAAUGGCCUGGUGCCCCGCCGUCCUCACACUGAUCCUUUUACAUGGAUUUAUGGGGUGGUUGAUGGGGAGGAGAGGCCCAGGGAUCCCUUGGACCCGCCACCCCGACGCCGUGAUGAUGACGACCGCCACCGCAGGGAUGAUGACCGCGAUAGAGAUGGCAGAAGAGGCCGCGACAAUGACCGUCAUCGCUCCUCUUCCUGGAGGGGCCUCUUCCGCAGCCGCUCCCAAGCUCCGGCGCGGAGGGCGGAUGAGGAGCAUCGCGGUGAUCGCAGCGGUGACCAUGGCCGUGGAAGGGACGACCGCGAUCGAGGGCGUGAUGGUAGGCGUGAUGGAGGGCAUGCCAGUUCCCUGGACCGGCCACGACAGAGGGACUUGGCGGAUGCCCGAGGGCGCUCGCCACCGCCGUCGCCUCGAACUACCUCCUGCGACAUCAUUCAGAUCAAGUCUUCCUCUGCUGCCGUGGACUGGUUGCGCCGUGCUGCCCCUUGCUUUGCGCCUACUCCUGUGCAGCCAUCACUCAACAUCGAUGCGGCGACAACCAUCUCUCCUCUUCAGUCUAGGCCUGCCCACUCACUGGCACCUGAGAUGGCUUUGGACUCGGCGUCCUCUCCAGCGCCAAGUUUGGUGCUGGCCGCUUCAGAGCAGCCUGCUGCUGAUCUGCACCACCUUGUCUUGGAAGCCGCUGCACAAGAGAUGACUGAAGAAGAGGCCUCUGAAGGUGCUACCACACCCAUCUUUGUCCCCUGUAGGCCGGCACUACUACCCUCACCUCCAACCUGGACACCACCACGGCCACCUGCUCGACGACGCAAGACCCUGGCGGGUGUCACGAGCUUCAGCCUUGGCCGUCGCAGCCCGAGGAUCCGUGGGAAGAACCAGAGGCUGCCCAUUGCGACCCUUGCAGAGCGGCUCCUCUGCCAGCGCUUGGGCAUUGUGGAAGAUGGCGAACAGCUUACCGAGAUGGCCAUCAGCAAGUUUGUGCAAAUGUUUAAUGGUCGCCUCCCUGACAUCACCAUUACGGCUCUGCUUGCUUUGUUCAACCUUGACUGCGAUCUGAUGUCGGCGGUGGAGAAUGCCUUGAUCGAGCAUGCUGGGGAGGGAGGUCCAGACCUGGGCUCUCAGGAGGAUGCCGAGGCGGCUGCUGCAACCUGA